rnacentral:rRNA from 1 species
CGGUCAGUAGGUUGGUCGUGCCACCGGUACGUACUGGACUCACUGAUUCCUCCUUCCUGAAGAACCGUAAUGCCAUUAAUUUGGUGUUGCGGGGAAACAGGACUGUUACUUUGAAAAAAUUAGAGUGUUUAAAGCAAGCUAACGCUUGAAUACAUUAGCAUGGAAUAAUGAAAUAGGACGAUCGAUCCUAUUUUGUUGGUUUCUAGGAUUGACGUA